rnacentral:rRNA from 1 species
AGAGUUUGAUCAUGGCUCAGGACGAACGCUGGCGGCAUGCCUAAUACAUGCAAGUCGAACGCUUUUGUUUCACCGGGUGCUUGCACCCAUCGAAACAAAAGAGUGGCGGACGGGUGAGUAACACGUGGGCAACCUACCCUAUAGUUUGGGAUAACUCCGGGAAACCGGGGCUAAUACCGAAUAAUCUAUUGUCCCUCAUGGGACAAUACUGAAAGACGGUUUCGGCUGUCGCUAUAGGAUGGGCCCGCGGCGCAUUAGCUAGUUGGUGAGGUAACGGCUCACCAAGGCAACGAUGCGUAGCCGACCUGAGAGGGUGAUCGGCCACACUGGGACUGAGACACGGCCCAGACUCCUACGGGAGGCAGCAGUAGGGAAUCUUCCACAAUGGGCGAAAGCCUGAUGGAGCAACGCCGCGUGAGUGAAGAAGGAUUUCGGUUCGUAAAACUCUGUUGUAAGGGAAGAACAAGUACAGUAGUAACUGGCUGUACCUUGACGGUACCUUAUUAGAAAGCCACGGCUAACUACGUGCCAGCAGCCGCGGUAAUACGUAGGUGGCAAGCGUUGUCCGGAAUUAUUGGGCGUAAAGCGCGCGCAGGUGGUUUCUUAGGUCUGAUGUGAAAGCCCACGGCUCAACCGUGGAGGGUCAUUGGAAACUGGGAGACUUGAGUGCAGAAGAGGAUAGUGGAAUUCCAAGUGUAGCGGUGAAAUGCGUAGAGAUUUGGAGGAACACCAGUGGCGAAAGCGACUAUCUGGUCUGUAACUGACACUGAGGCGCGAAAGCGUGGGGAGCAAACAGGAUUAGAUACCCUGGUAGUCCACGCCGUAAACGAUGAGUGCUAAGUGUUAGGGGUUUCCGCCCCUUAGUGCUGCAGCUAACGCAUUAAGCACUCCGCCUGGGGAGUACGGUCGCAAGACUGAAACUCAAAGGAAUUGACGGGGGCCCGCACAAGCGGUGGAGCAUGGUGGUUUAAUUCGAAGCAACGCCGAAGAACCUUACCAGGUCUUGACAAUCCCGUUGAACCACUGGUAGAGAGAAUUAUGGGUUUUCC